AUUGAACGCUGGCGGCAGGCCUAACACAUGCAAGUCGAGCGGAUGAAGGGAGCUUGCUCCUGGAUUCAGCGGCGGACGGGUGAGUAAUGCCUAGGAAUCUGCCGGGUAGUGGGGGAUAACGUCCGGAAACGGGCGCUAAUACCGCAUACGUCCUGAGGGAGAAGGUGGGGGAUCUUCGGACCUCACGCUAUCAGAUGAGCCUAGGUCGGAUUAGCUAGUUGGUGGGGUAAAGGCCUACCAAGGCGACGAUCCGUAACUGGUCUGAGAGGAUGAUCAGUCACACUGGAACUGAGACACGGUCCAGACUCCUACGGGAGGCAGCAGUGGGGAAUAUUGGACAAUGGGCGAAAGCCUGAUCCAGCCAUGCCGCGUGUGUGAAGAAGGUCUUCGGAUUGUAAAGCACUUUAAGUUGGGAGGAAGGGCAGUAAGUUAAUACCUUGCUGUUUUGACGUUAUCAACAGAAUAAGCACCGGCUAACUUCGUG
rnacentral:rRNA from 1 species